CAAGUCCCCCUACUGCUGCCCGGAGUGUGGUGUCCUCUGUCGCUCUGCUUACUUCCAGACUCAUGUAAAGGAGAAUUGCCUGCACUAUGCCCGAAAAGUGGGCUACAGGUGGGUGCUACCUGGCUUACUGUCCUGGUAUUGCCCAAUGGCAGGUCCUUUUACUAGGCUGAAACUUGUUUUAUACUGAGAACCCAAUGUGUGUGUUGGGGUUGGGGGGUU
rnacentral:lncRNA from 1 species